UACAGAGGGGGCAAGCGUUAAUCGGAAUUACUGGGCGUAAAGCGUGCGCAGGCGGUUUGCUAAGACCGAUGUGAAAUCCCCGGGCUCAACCUGGGAACUGCAUUGGUGACUGGCAGGCUAGAGUAUGGCAGAGGGGGGUAGAAUUCCACGUGUAGCAGUGAAAUGCGUAGAGAUGUGGAGGAAUACCGAUGGCGAAGGCAGCCCCCUGGGCCAAUACUGACGCUCAUGCACGAAAGCGUGGGGAGCAAACAGG
rnacentral:rRNA from 1 species